UACGGAGGGGGUUAGCGUUGUUCGGAAUUACUGGGCGUAAAGCGUACGUAGGCGGAUUAGUAAGUUGGGGGUGAAAUCCCGGGGCUCAACCCCGGAACUGCCUCCAAAACUACUAGUCUUGAGAUCGUGAGAGGUGAGUGGAAUUCCGAGUGUAGAGGUGAAAUUCGUAGAUAUUCGGAGGAACAUCAGUGGCGAAGGCGGCCUCCUGGACUAACACUGACGCUGAGGUACGAAAGCGUGGGGAUCAAACAGG
rnacentral:rRNA from 1 species